rnacentral:tmRNA from 2 species
GGGGGCGCAUAGGCUUCGACGGGAGUGGUCAGCGUCCUGUGAGACGAGCCGAGUUUGCUGGAGACUCGUAAAACGCCGGCAGCAAAAGAUACACGCCAACAGCAAUGAUAUGGCUCUGGCUGCUUAACUAAAAAGUAGCCCAUCGGUCCGGGCGGCCCACGGCCCGGUUCCCGGUGUCAUUGAGUGGGCUCACCCUCAGUGUUCUGGCCCGGAGCAUCGAGGGGACAUUCAACGGGCUAGGCCUCUCGGCGGCGCCCCGGUCCGUCGCAGCAGGCGAAGCUAAACCGGGAGCUAUGCUCGUAGAAUCUCACGGACGGCGCGCUCGCGGACGCGGGUUCGAAUCCCGCCGCCUCCACUG